GAAGAGCUUGCUGGUGGCACACAUUCGAAUAAGCAUACAAUCAUACUAGCAAACAUUACUCGGCGUGGCGUCAGUUCGGCACGGCAGUGCUGUGUCUGAGUCAGAGUUAGGUUAUAGUGAUAGAGUAAACAAAGCCAGUAUGUAGCAUAGUGGAACAAGUAAAUGGGGGAAUGGGAAACAGAAAAAGAAAGAGAGAGCGAGAGGUCUAUGGAAGCGGAGAUAUUGAAGACAGCAACGUAGUUUCCACUGCCAUCAGAGGCAGUUUGGAGGUAGAGAGUGGCGAGGAGGAAGGGCAAGGUACGCCAAGAGGAGAUCAAUCAAGGAGACUAUUCAAGCCAUCGACUCACUGAUGGUUGAAGAUGAUGAGCGAUCGGCAAAGGCCAUCGAAUCUGCUGGCAUCACGGCACGACAUCAACAUCGCUCUAAUCACAGUCAGAAGACAGUUGAAGAAACUUGAGUGGACUUAUGGAAAGGCUCUGUAAGACUUUUUUUUUCUCCCCCAGAACAUUAACCAUGUGUGUUCUCUUGUUUUGUACGGUUCUGUAGUUUUUACCCAAUGAUUUGUCUGACAAACAAAGAACUUUGCGUAGUGCAGGCCUAGGCAUGGAUCAAAGAUGGUGAGACAUUCAAUGACAUCAUCAAGAGAUAUGCUGGACCAUAUGUCAGAGAGGUGUUUUUGGGACCACAUCGUUUCUUUCAAGACAAUGACCCAAAACACACUGCCGCCCAGGUUUGCAUUGCAAAUGAGUGCAUAACCUGGGUCAAGACGCCAGCAGAUUCUCCUGAUUUAAACUCGAUCGAACUUGUUUGGCAUCAGCUGAAAACAUUCAUCUGUAACUCUGCCAAACCUACAAGCAAAGAUGAACUGGUGAAGGCCAUCAAGACGUUUUGGCUCGAGAAACUGAUGAUGCAACAAUGCAACAAAUACAUUGAUCAUCUCAGAAAGGUUUUACCUGUGGAGCAACUAAAAUGUAG
rnacentral:lncRNA from 1 species